CGUAGGUGGCAAGCGUUGUCCGGAUUUAUUGGGUUUAAAGGGUGCGUAGGCGGCCUUAUAAGUCAGUGCUGAAAUAUCCCGGCUUAACCGGGAGGGUGGCAUUGAUACUGUAGGGCUUGAGUGUAGUCGAGGUAGGCGGAAUUGACGGUGUAGCGGUGAAAUGCUUAGAUAUCGUCAAGAACACCGAUAGUGUAGACAGCUUACUAGGCUACAACUGACGCUGAGGCACGAAAGUGUGGGGAUCAAACAGGAUUAGAUACCCUGGUAGUCCACACUGUAGACGUUGAUUACUCGCUGUUGGCGAUACACAGUCAGCGGCUUAGCGCAAGCGAUAAGUAAUCCACCUGGGGAGUACGCCGGCAACGGUG
rnacentral:rRNA from 1 species